AUCACUUCUCGUCCUUUUGGCUAAGACCAAGUGUAGUAUCGUUCUUAUCAGUUUAAAAUGUACUUUAGACUAAAUGAACCUAAAAGAUGUUUACAGAAUAUUUUCCAAGAACAGAAUGCACAUUAU
rnacentral:snRNA from 1 species